GGCUAAUCCUGGUCGGACAUCAGGAGGUUAGUGCAAUGGCAUAAGCCAGCUUGACUGCGAGCGUGACGGCGCGAGCAGGUGCGAAAGCAGGUCAUAGUGAUCCGGUGGUUCUGAAUGGAAGGGCCAUCGCUCAACGGAUAAAAGGUACUCCGGGGAUAACAGGCUGAUACCGCCCAAGAGUUCAUAUCGACGGCGGUGUUUGGCACCUCGAUGUCGGCUCAUCACAUCCUGGGGCUGAAGUAGGUCCCAAGGGUAUGGCUGUUCGCCAUUUAAAGUGGUACGCGAGCUGGGUUUAGAACGUCGUGAGACAGUUCGGUCCCUAUCUGCCGUGGGCGCUGGAGAACUGAGGGGGGCUGCUCCUAGUACGAGAGGACCGGAGUGGACGCAUCACUGGUGUUCGGGUUGUCAUGCCAAUGGCACUGCCCGGUAGCUAAAUGCGGAAGAGAUAAGUGCUGAAAGCAUCUAAGCACGAAACUUGCC
rnacentral:rRNA from 1 species